GGGGAUUACACCUCUGUCCCCCUCACCCACCGAACCUGGAAGCACGCGGCAUACAUGCCAAGAAUGCGUAAGGGAGCAGCAUCCAUGCGCCACAGCCCUGUGCCAGGACAAGUAGUACUGCAGAAGGAAUGGAAGUGCGCAGCAUCAGGACCUGAAUCAGAGCAGGUAUGAUGCUGAUUAAAAUGGCCUGCUUUCAAUGUCC